rnacentral:rRNA from 1 species
UACGUAGGGUGCGAGCGUUAAUCGGAAUUACUGGGCGUAAAGCGUGCGCAGGCGGUUUUGUAAGUCAGAUGUGAAAUCCCCCGGGCUCAACCCGGGAACUGCGUCCGAUACUGGCAGGCUUGAAUUCGGGAGAGGGAUGCGGAAUUCCAGGUGUAGCGGUGAAAUGCGCAGAUAUCAGGAGGAACACCGAUGGCGAAGGCAGGUCACUGGGCCG